rnacentral:misc_RNA from 1 species
GACCAUUGUUUACAACAUGGCGUCCUUACGUGAAAGAGCUUUAUCUACGAAAACGUUAGUGUGUCUUCUUCAAGCGCUUCAAGAAAGAGAAACAACCGUGGAACUACGAAAUGAAGUAUCGAUUUUAGGAAGAAUAGAAAUAGUUGAUGGAUACAUGAACCUCACAAUGACUGAUGUGACUCUAACAACACCAAAUAAUGAACAGCAGAAAUAUGAAAGUUUUUUUGUUCAAGGGAAGCAAGUAAGAUUUGUCCAUAUUCCAGAUGACAUUAACAUCGUUGAAGCCAUUAAGAAACAACUGAAUCUCAUUCGUGGGCGUGGUCAAUAUAAGGAAAGGAAACAACACAAAAAAGCUUUAGCUCAAACACUAAAAAUCAGACAAGAGAAUUUACUGAUGAAAGAAAGACAGCAAGAAUCAUCGUGAUUGAGUCUGAGUUCUGAGGGUAUGAUAAGUGUGCCUGCAUGUGUACAAAGGAGAUGGGGCAAACUCCCCACUCUACCUGAAUGGUGCCCUAUCUUCUUCACACCUACAACCAAUGAAAACAUGAUCAAAGAAGAGAUGUUUUUUGCAGAUCAACAUGGCAAAGCACAUGUACUGGAGGUAUGUGUAUGAUUAGUCUUGUGCAGGAUUUUAGAGUAAUUCAUUUAAUAGUUAUAUGUGUAGUAUGAACACGAGCAGU